GACGAACCGUGCGAACGUUGUUCGGAAUCACUGGGCUUAAAGGGCGCGUAGGCGGCAGAUCAAGUCCGGGGUGAAAUCCUCCAGCUCAACUGGAGAAGUGCCUUGGAUACUGAUGUGCUCGAGGGAGGUAGGGGUCCGCGGAACUUCUGGUGGAGCGGUGAAAUGCGUUGAUAUCGUAAGGAACGCCAGUGGCGAAAGCGAGUCUCUGGGCAGCAUCUGACACUGAGGCACGAAGGCCAGGGGAGCAAACGGG
rnacentral:rRNA from 1 species